AGAAUGUGGAGGAUGUAAUUAGAUGAGUGCAUAGUGGCACAUGGCCUCUUCCUUGUUCUCUUGGCUCACAUCUUUGAAGGAAGCCAGCUGUCAGGUCAUAAGAACAGCCCUACAGAGAGCCCUACAGUGAGGAGAAACUGAGGCCUGCCAUGCAGAGCCAUGUGAGCGAGCCAUCAGGAGGCCCCGGUCAAGCCUUCAGAUGAUAGCAGCCCCAGGAGAGGUCUUGAGUGCGACUCAUGAGACUCUGAGCCAGAAGCACUUAGCUGAGCAGCUCUCAAGCUCCUGACCCACAGAGUCUGUGAGAUAGUAAACAUGUCUUGUUUGAAUUCUCCAAGGCUGAGGGCUUUUUGUGAUGCAACAAUAGAAAACAAUCAUGUGAGUAAAUAGUCUCCACACUGAUCUUUCACAGGGCUACACUGUUCACUUAGUAACCAAGCCCUGGACAAGCGAGCUUGACUUCUUCCAGAAGAAGAUGUUGUUUUCUUGCAGCCAGUCCUCUGGUCAGAGCCAGCCAGACUCUGCGGGCAGCUGUCCCCAGGCCAUCUGAGAUUCCACAAGGCUGAGGCCCUUGCUGGAGGCCCUGAACUAUGUUUGCGCAGAGGAGUUCUGUUUGACGUUCCACCUGUGCAUAGGAAGCUUGUGAGGACAAGCAGAGCAAGUACAUGGAAGUCUGCACAAGUGACAAAAGAAUAUACAUUUUGAGACAUUAAGAGAGGUCAUUGGAACACUAGGUUUCCUUAAAACAAAGGCUUCUGUUUCUCACGGGCAAACAUGAGUGGAAAAAAAAAAA